rnacentral:lncRNA from 10 species
AGAAGACUUCACAAUUUAAUGCCUCAGUUUUUAAAAAAGGAUCCUUACACUUCAUGUCUCCUAGCCAUCAGAAGAGGAAUGAGACAGCAAAAGUUCAAAUGGCCUGUUUCAAGUUUCUGAUAUAAAACGAUGACAUUUUCAGGAAAAUCCUGCAUUUCCAGAGAGAGACUGGCUGGUUAAAUUUCUGAAAGAGGACACCAGCUAAAAGAAGGGUCAUUCCGGCUGCUUUUUUGAGAAGUCCCUGAAGAGAUCAAUAACAGCAAGAGGGAACCUGGCAAGGAAGCUAUUCCUAUAAUCCAGGAAAGAGAUGAGGAAGGCUUGGACCAGGUGGUAGUGGUGUCAGGUAGUCAAAUGCUGGGUAUAUUUUGAAGAUACACCCCAUAGGAUUUGCUCCACAUUGAAUGUGGAAUGCUGGAAGAGAGAUAAAGUGUACCUGUCACAUACUUUUUGAGUUUUAUUUAUUUUCUUAGAAGUAAGUACACAAAGAGAUGCUACCUAGGAGAAGGGUAUUCUUUUCACUAUUCUUUCAAAUUUUCUGUAUGUUCAAACAUUUUCAUAGUAGAAAGUUGGGGGGAAAAUCUGUUUCAUAAACAUUUCCUCAGCAGCAGUCCAGUCUAUUGCAUUUUAAUUGGUUGUGAUAUCAUUGUUUUAUGCAAUACGUUCUCAACAAGUAUAUCCUCCGGCAAACUGAACAAGGACCAAGUCUGUUCUGCCUACAGCUCUGCUUCCUCAUAGCUGCUUUCCAGAACGUGACUCUUGCAAAUUAUCAAGAAAGGGGAACUAAUCUAAGGGAUCCAGAUCAAACAGCCUCAUGAAGACUUAUUUUAUGUUUCUAAUAUAAAGAUAGAAGUUUUCAGAAAAGCCCUGCUACACAGAGGAUCAGAGCAGGGGUGGGCCUGCUGGGCUGCAGCUGGGAUUCUGAGCAUCCUUUCCCGGAGGCACGGAAAGUGAGUGAGUGAGCCCAGUGAGGAAGAAGUUGAAGCUUUGAUAUGAGUAAACAAGUAUCUCUACCUGAAAUGAUUAAAGACUGGACCAAAGAGCAUGUGAAAAAAUGGGUAAAUGAAGACCUUAAGAUUAAUGAGCAAUACGGGCAAAUUCUGCUCAGUGAAGAAGUAACAGGAUUAGUCCUGCAGGAAUUAACUGAGAAGGACCUUGUAGAAAUGGGGCUACCAUGGGGUCCAGCACUUUUGAUAAAACG